AUUGAACGCUGGCGGCAGGCCUAACACAUGCAAGUCGAGCGAGCGGCGGACGGGUGAGUAAUGUUUGGGACUCUAGCUUAUGGAGGGGGAUAACUACGGGAAACUUUAGCUAAUACCGCGUACCAUAGGAUGAGCCCACGUGGGAUUAGGUAGUGGGUGAGGUAAAGGCUCACCAAGCCGACGAUCUCUAGCUGGUCUGAGAGGAUGACCAGCCACACGGGGACUGUGACACGGCCAAGACUCCUACGGUAGGCAGCAGUGGGGAAUAUUGCGCAAUGGGGGCAACCUGACGCAGCCAUGCCGCGUGAAUGAAGAAGGCCUUCGGGUUGUAAAGUUCUUUCGGUAGCGAGGCGUUAACUACAGAAUAAGCACCGGCUAACUCCGUGCCAGCAGCCGCGGUAAUUC
rnacentral:rRNA from 1 species